UUUGCUUUUUUUUCAAGUUUUAUUGAUACAGUGUUGUCCCACUGGCCAAAAUAUGCUAAUGGUCAAGCCCAGAUACAGUGCAAAAAGAAAGUCUUUACACUUGUCCAGAUGAACUGGUGUAGUGGCAAUGGGACCACCAAGAAGAGGACAGAAUCAAGAGAUAUUCAAGGGAUGUAAUCAGCAGCUCUUUUUGAGGGACUGGCUAUAGGGGGUGAAGGAGAGAAUGAUGUCCAGGAUGAUGCCCAUGAAUCAGGACCCAGGUUGAAGAAACAGUCUCUGUUAAGGAUGUGUAGCUCUUGCAGAAUAAAGGAAAAAC
rnacentral:lncRNA from 1 species